rnacentral:rRNA from 1 species
UACGGAGGGUGCAAGCGUUAUCCGGAAUCAUUGGGUUUAAAGGGUCCGUAGGCGGGCGAUUAAGUCAGAGGUGAAAUCCCACAGCUUAACUGUGGAACUGCCUUUGAUACUGGUCGUCUUGAGUUAUAGUGAAGUAGAUAGAAUAUGUAGUGUAGCGGUGAAAUGCUUAGAUAUUACAUAGAAUACCGAUUGCGAAGGCAGUCUACUAACUAUAUACUGACGCUAAUGGACGAAAGCGUGGGGAGCGAACAGGAUUAGAUACCCGUGUA